rnacentral:siRNA from 1 species
AGGUUGCAGAGACCUCCACCUCCA